rnacentral:tRNA from 1 species
GGAGAGAUGGCUCAGUGGUUCAGAGCACUGGCUUCUGGUCCAGAGGACUUGGGUUCAAUUCCCAACACCC